rnacentral:lncRNA from 1 species
UUUUUUUUUCUCAAUUGGACCACAUGCAUGCACUUCUGCUCUCACCGAGAAAUUGAUGGAAAAAAGAUGGUUGCGGUGUUCUUGCAUCAUCUGAUGAAACUAUUUCUACAGGAAGCAAUCAUUCAUGAGAUUUAAUUUGCCACUGCAUUUUGUACAGGAAUAUGGAGCUCAAGUCAUAUCCACCAUACCAACUGUACCAUAUAUCUUUGAAUAUGGCGAUGAAAGGUGAGCAUUUACAAUGAUAUUAUAAUUGUUCUCUGCUAGGAUAUCUGAGCUUGAUUGUUUUGUUCAGCAAAGUGCAAAUUGAGAACCCUGCGGCCUUGUCUUUCAAUGCUGGAAAACGUAUAACGGCCUGCUGGGAGCCAACAGUCAUUGCAACAAUUAUUAUUCCUAGUGAGUAAGAUCUGCUUCCUUUCUCAUUAGUUUUCCUGUUCCAUUUACAACUAGAAAGAGUGAUGAUGAUCAACCAUUUCUUUUAGGUAUGUUGGGCCUGUAAUUAUGCUUUGUUCGGAAAGGAGGGGUGAACAGCAAGAAUAUACAUUCAUUGAUGCGUAAUUGGUCCCCCCAAAUCACAUUUUUUAAGUAAAUGUUUUUUGUUUUUGCUCAUUGUGGCUAUGUUUGAUGCAGUAAUAGAGCUUUAUUGAAGUACCGAUUACCUUUGAGGGAGAUCAUUGUGGACUUCUACAAUGAGUUGAAAAGCAUAACAUCUGGCUAUGCUACUUUUGACUAUGAAGAUUCUGAGUAUGUAUCGUUUUCAAUUUAAAAAAUCAGAUAAGGUCUGGUUACACUACUGGUUUUGUCAUUUUUCGAGAUUUUGAGAUGAAAAUGAAUAUGAAUAUGGUUGUAAGGUUGUGGCUCAUCGAAUUCCUGUGCUCUGGUCAGUCUUUUCCGUUGAACAUUUUAUAUCCCCUUUGUUUCUUGAAAGUUGUUGGCCUUGCUUAUGAAUAUGACCCCUGGUGCAGGUCUCUAUCCAGCCUACUAAGUACCCACGAGAACAAAUUUUUGCUUUAGACAUCUUAUGUUUCAGGGAACAUCUCCCGGUGACUAUUUGACUAGUAACUGUUUGAGUCGUUAAAUGACUUAAACUGUUUUCACUUGCUUGAUUAAUUAGCCAAGUGGUGUACAAAUUAUUUACAUUCGAUGUGAGAUGGCUAUUCAAGUAGCACAUAGGAAUUUCUUCUAUGAUGGAAAAGGAAAAAAAAAAUGUGACAGCUUCGUAUCACUAUUUCUGGUUCUUGUUACACUAACUUACUUAAGUUCAUUUCAACAGGUAUCAAAAAUCUGAUCUUGUUAAGAUGGAUAUUCUACUUAACGGCCAGCCUGUUGAUGCUAUGGCUACUAUAAUCCAUAACCAAAAAGCUCAGAAGGUUGGAAGAGAAUUAGUGGACAAGCUGAAGAAAUUUAUAGAAAGGUAUCCAUUAUGCUCCUUGUUUUGGGACUCUGAUGUGUAAAAUGAACAAGUUAUGUCUAUAGGAAUUUAUAUAAAAAAUCAUGAGCUUGGCGAAUCUAGAUCCUACAUGUCUAACCAUCGGGUAGAGUUGAACUUUGUCUCCUUAAGUAAUGCUUGUGUUCAAUUCCAAUAAUUAGCUAAAGCAAUCAACCAUAACUUAUAUUUCCUUCAGCAGUGGGUGACUCUCUGAAUGCACAACACUAGACUUGCUGUAUUACUUUUUUCUGGUGUACUGAGUAAAAAAUCAUUGCAGUGUGAAAAUUUUUAUUUUUUGUCACGUAUAGUUCAUGCCCAAUGAUGGUCACUGGCCAGUGCUCUUUGAUUAGAUUGUUUCCGAGCAUUCCUACGACUCUAUAAAUUACAAUUGGAAGGGAAAUGUAGUUUCAUUAGAAAAGAGGAUUGUGAAGCAGAAAAAAGUGGAUUUCGGUAUUGGGGAAAACCGCUGCUGCGACAAUUUUUUUUAAUCCUUGUGCUGAUUGGAGACACUUUAUUUCCUUUAGCCACUCUUUCCACUUAAGUUUAUUUUGUAACUCUUUGGUCUCUCAUUGUGCAGGCAAAUGUUUGAGAUCACUAUACAAGCAGCAAUUGGUUCAAAGGUUAUUGCAAGGGAAACGUAAGAUAUUAGUUCUGCUUUAGUUUUCUUGAAUACUAAUCCCUCCGUUCCCUAAUAUAAGACGUUUUGGUAGUUUAGGAAUGGAGGGAGUACAUCAUUCCUUCAUUAUUUUUGUUAAAGAUUUGUGUUCAUUUGAAGUGCUUUGAAGUUAACAUUUGUACGCACUUCACUAUAUUUGCAAGUGCAUCUAUAGCUAUUUAGGAAUUGAACUUUUCUGUGAAUAAUUAUAUAGUUAUUAACAUGAAAUGCAUUUUCAGUUCGGAGUAAAGUCGGAUUUAUCCAUUCAAUUUCAGGCGUAGUUUGCCUGAAUGAGUAUGUUCGUUGGAACACCAUCUGUUCCUUAGAAUUUAGUGUCAUGGGAAGUGGUUUUGAUUUUUCUUUUAUAGUUUUCAUCAUAUUUAAAAAGCACUAGGUGCUAAUUGUGCGUAUUGCCACCAUCUUGUGCUUUCUGACCAAAGCGCACACUUAUGCGCAGAUGAAGCACACUUAAGUGCUAGGCGUUUUGCUAUCGCCUAGAGCCUACGUGCACUUAAGCCCCCGCCUAGGCGUGCCUUUUUAAACUAUUGUUUUCAUUGAGUUCUUUGUCUGACUUGAUAAUGGUUCCAUCUUAACCUUUUCAUUGGCCUAAAAAGAUCUGCUUGUAUAUCAUGACCAAUCAGCCUUUGUGCAUCAGUCCCAUGGUUCAGUGUCUCGUCCUAUUCUGUAUUUUGGUCAUGAAACAUGUGAAAUAGGUCCAGGUAGCUUGUUAGUCACCCAGUUCUAAUUUAUUUUCAACUGCCCAUAGCAUUAUUCAGUUACAUGAAAAAUAUUCUGUUCGGUAUCAGGUUAGCUUAGCUGGAGUACUCUUUUAUUUUCUUAAGUAAAAGCAUGUGCAUUUGACAAGUACUCCCUCCGUCCGGAAAUACUUGUCAGGGAAAUGGAUAAAAAUGGAUGUAUCUACAACUAAAAUACGUCUAGAUACAUCCAUUUCUCCGACAAGUAUUUUCGGACGGUGGGAGUACAUAAUUGAGCAUGUUGUCUUGUGUCAUUUCCAGCCUGUCAGCAAUGAGAAAGAAUGUUCUGGCCAAGUGUUAUGGUGGUGAUAUCACCCGCAAAAAGAAGUUGCUAGAGAAGCAGAAGGAAGGGAAGAAGCGUAUGAAACGUGUCGGGUCUGUCGAUAUCCCCCAAGAAGCGUUCCAUGAGCUACUAAAGGUCUCCAGUUCAAAGUAGACGAGCUGUACUUUAGUGUCGUAACCUCGUGUAGUCAUCUUCCUUCCUGAAAGGUGAGUUUUGGUCACACGAUCUUUGCACAUUAUAUCUCCAGCUUCCAUAGUAGCUUUGCCUUAUGCCUUUUUUGUUGCACUGCAGGCUUUCACUCCUUGUUCACCAAGUACAUACUGACGUUUUGCGCCGAGCAGCGUAGCACCACUGCUGUCAUUGCUCCUGUGCCCAAGGGUUAAACCGCCGGUCAAAGGGGUUUAUUUCACGCCGAGAAGCUCCGUCCUGCGGUGCUGGUGCUGCGAACCUUGGUGUUCCAGGAUGUUUUGGUGGUGCUAAAACAUGGACUCGCACCCUGGUGUGAGAAGAAAAAAAAAACCCGUACUGCCACACCCUGUUAUGCUAGUUCUUGCUGGAAAGUGGACAGCAUACGACGACGCUUGCUUGUUUCAUACUUUCAUAGUUGGCGCGAGCAUAUACGCAGAAUGUUGUGCCUCACUGCACUAUAUUUUUUUGGAGGAAAAGUGCCGAACAAUUCUACAAGUACAGUUAUACUUGGUUUUAUUUUGGAGAAGUUUUUCCAUUGUUCUCCNN